rnacentral:lncRNA from 1 species
AUGAAUACAAUAAAAUAUAUAAGAUUACCUGAUUUUGGAUCUCUUCAUUGGCCACUCUGGCAGGAGUCGUGCAAUGCCAACAAGACAGACAUGCCCAUUAGGCAUCACCCUGAAGAAGAAAGUAAUGCCUUUUUUCUGGAGUUGUUCUACGAUACUCUCCUUCCUGGUCCCAAUACUGUUCUCCAAAUGUUAUCGGAACACUGUCCUCUCCUAAUUCUUUUCCUAUCUACCCAACUGGAGGACCUGGUAAAGUAGGCAGUCCAGAGACACGGUGAAGAGCAACUGAGCAGACUGGGUCCGAGAGGAACUCACCUGGGAUAGAGCAAUUCCACAGACAAAUGACCAUCUGGCUGUGAGCAAGUUCUCUAAUCAUUCAUGGUGUUGAUGUUGUUUGGUCAUUUCAAUUGUGUCUCACUCUUCAUGACCUCAUUUGGCAUUUUCUUGGCAAAGAUACUGGAGUGGUUUGUCAUUUCCUUCUCCAGCUCAUUUUACAGAUGAGGAAACUGAGGCCAACAGACUUAAGUGACUAGCCCAGGGUCACACAACUAGUAAGUAUCUGAGGCCAGAUUUGAACUCAGGAAGCUGAGUCUUUCUGAUUCCAAACUCAGUCUCCUAUCCAUUGGCACCCAGAUAUCACAAUUAUUCUUGGUAACUAGAUGUUCAGCUCCUUCUCUAUUGCCCACAGAUUAACUUCCAUUAGGUCACUUCACUUUCAGUGCACACACUCGUUAUGGCUCUUCUGUUAAGCUGGCCUUUUUAGUCAUAAGACUAGAGUGCUGACCCCUAACCAUUCAGCUUAUAGUCCUCUGUGACCCCUCCAUCUUCUCUCCCUGGGACCCUUAUUCUCAGCCCUGUGGUCUCCCUAAUCUAACUAUCUCUCCUUUAGCCAGCCAUGACGGCCAGCGGCAUAGUUUGUUUAUGGUACCUGGCCCCCACCCACCUCGGCUGUGGUUCACUAACUCCCCCUAAUUAGAUUUGGCUAUUUUAGGCCCAUCUCUAAUACAAUCCACAGGAGGCUGGCCCUCAUCUGCAGAGCUGAGUAUGUACUAAAGACUUUCCCUCUGUGCCUCUCCUCCCAACAAGGCCUCUUUGAUCUUUCUGAGCCAUUGCUGUUAAUGGCAUUAAAGGAAGGCUGCUCCAGUGGGGCAAAGAGAUUAAUAUGCAAAGACAGACUAAUGGGCCAGAGUCUGUUAGAACAACAAUGUUUAGAAGCCUGAGAUGGACACAGGCCUUUGUGCAAAGCAGGUUUAUGAAG